AAAUAAACUUUAUUCGAAUUAGUGCGGUGUAAAACUGCUUGGGCCCCUUGGUUAGAAAUCAUGGCUACGUCACUGAUUUGGUUGACUCAAAUUAUAACUUUGGAAUGAAUGUAUAAUUAUCUUUAGAAUAAUAGGACAUUCUUAUUGUGGCUACAGACCGCAGUGCUAAGUUAUUGUGAAUAAGCGAGAUUGACUACAUGUUUGUGAUUUUUCUGAGAGCGAUUUGCGUGAGUUGGCAUGAACCGUGAGUUCAUUGAAACCGCAGCGAAGUGGCAGC